GGGCAGCCUGGUAGAGCAUCCGGCUCUUAACCGGAACGUCACGCGUUCGAAUCGCGUAGGGCCCG
rnacentral:tRNA from 1 species